AAUCCAUAGGUUAAUGAGGCGAACCGGGGGAACUGAAACAUCUAAGUACCCCGAGGAAAAGAAAUCAACCGAGAUUCCCCCAGUAGCGGCGAGCGAACGGGGAGGAGCCCAGAGCCUGAAUCAGCAUGUGUGUUAGUGGAAGCGUCUGGAAAGGCGCGCGAUACAGGGUGACAGCCCCGUACACAAAAGCGCAUGUGUUGUGAGCUCGAUGAGUAGGGCGGGACACGUGGUAUCCUGUCUGAAUAUGGGGGGACCAUCCUCCAAGGCUAAAUACUCCUGACUGACCGAUAGUGAACCAGUACCGUGAGGGAAAGGCGAAAAGAACCCCGGCGAGGGGAGUGAAAAAGAACCUGAAACCGUGUACGUACAAGCAGUGGGAGCACAGGUUUACCUGUGUGACUGCGUACCUUUUGUAUAAUGGGUCAGCGACUUAUAUUCUGUAGCAAGGUUAACCGUAUAGGGGAGCCGGAGGGAAACCGAGUCUUAAUUGGGCGUUAAGUUGCAGGGUAUAGACCCGAAACCCGGUGAUCUAGCCAUGGGCAGGUUGAAGGUUGGGUAACACUAACUGGAGGACCGAACCGACUAAUGUUGAAAAAUUAGCGGAUGACCUGUGGCUGGGGGUGAAAGGCCAAUCAAACCGGGAGAUAGCUGGUUCUCCCCGAAAGCUAUUUAGGUAGCGCCUCGUGAACUCAUCUCCGGGGGUAGAGCACUGUUUCGGCUAGGGGGCCAUCCCGGCUUACCAACCCGAUGCAAACUGCGAAUACCGGAGAAUGUUAUCACGGGAGACACACGGCGGGUGCUAACGUCCGUCGUGAAGAGGGAAACAACCCAGACCGCCAGCUAAGGUCCCAAAGUCAUGGUUAAGUGGGAAACGAUGUGGGAAGGCCCAGACAGCCAGGAUGUUGGCUUAGAAGCAGCCAUCAUUUAAAGAAAGCGUAAUAGCUCACUGGUCGAGUCGGCCUGCGCGGAAGAUGUAACGGGGCUAAACCAUGCACCGAAGCUGCGGCAGCGAACGUAUCACCCAAGACAACUUUGCGGAGUUGACGAUUGACGGAGCGAAGCGACGUCAAAGCGUUCAUUAAAGUCGAGUUGGCUUAGGGAUACGUUCGUUGGGUAGGGGAGCGUUCUGUAAGCCAGUGAAGGUGUGUCGUGAGGCAUGCUGGAGGUAUCAGAAGUGCGAAUGCUGACAUAAGUAACGAUAAAGCGGGUGAAAAGCCCGCUCGCCGGAAGACCAAGGGUUCCUGUCCAACGUUAAUCGGGGCAGGGUGAGUCGACCCCUAAGGCGAGGCCGAAAGGCGUAGUCGAUGGGAAACGGGUUAAUAUUCCCGUACUUGGUGUUACUGCGAAGGGGGGACGGAGAAGGCUAUGUUGGCCGGGCGACGGUUGUCCCGGUUUAAGCGUGUAGGUGUGUGUUCCAGGUAAAUCCGGUUCACUUUAACACUGAGGCGUGACGACGAGGCACUACGGUGCUGAAGUAACAAAUGCCCUGCUUCCAGGAAAAGCCUCUAAGCAUCAGGUAACAUCAAAUCGUACCCCAAACCGACACAGGUGGUCAGGUAGAGAAUACCAAGGCGCUUGAGAGAACUCGGGUGAAGGAACUAGGCAAAAUGGUGCCGUAACUUCGGGAGAAGGCACGCUGAUAUGUAGGUGAAGCGGUUUACCCGUGGAGCUGAAAUCAGUCGAAGAUACCAGCUGGCUGCAACUGUUUAUUAAAAACACAGCACUGUGCAAACACGAAAGUGGACGUAUACGGUGUGACGCCUGCCCGGUGCCGGAAGGUUAAUUGAUGGGGUCAGCGCAAGCGAAGCUCCUGAUCGAAGCCCCGGUAAACGGCGGCCGUAACUAUAACGGUCCUAAGGUAGCGAAAUUCCUUGUCGGGUAAGUUCCGACCUGCACGAAUGGCGUAAUGAUGGCCAGGCUGUCUCCACCCGAGACUCAGUGAAAUUGAACUCGCUGUGAAGAUGCAGUGUACCCGCGGCAAGACGGAAAGACCCCGUGAACCUUUACUAUAGCUUGACACUGAACAUUGAGCCUUGAUGUGUAG
rnacentral:rRNA from 1 species